rnacentral:rRNA from 1 species
GUCYCUUUGGGGGRAAUUAAGGUKGGGCCCCGCCCCCCCCGAARWUUAAAAGGGCCGCGGYAUCUUGACCGUGCAAAGGUAGCAUAAUCAUUAGUCUUUUAAUUGAAGGCUGGAAUGAAUGGUUUGACGAGGUAUUAACUGUCUCUAUAUAAUAAUGUGGAAUUACCCUUUUGRYUCAAAAGGCUUAAAUGAGUAUWAAAGACGAGAAGACCCUAUAGAGCUUUAUAUGGUUGUAAGUGGUAUAUUUAUUGGUUGUUUAAAAUUGUCAUUAGUAAUCAUAUUUUGUUGGGGUGACAUGAAGAUAAKCWUUACUCUUUAUAAUUUGGAACAUUGAUUUAUGAAUAAUUGAUCCACUUUUAGUGAUUAGAAGARAAAGUUACCUUAGGGAUAACAGCGUAAUUUUUUUUGAGAGUUCAUAUCGACAAAAAAAAUUGCGACCUCGAUGUUGGAUUAAGGAAUAUGAUCAGGUGUAGAAGUUUGAUUAAUAAUCUGUUCAACUUUUAAAUCCUUACAUGAUCUGANUUC